UUAUAUGAGAGUUUGAUCCUGGCUCAGGAUGAACGCCGGCGGUGUGCCUAAUACAUGCAAGUCGAACGCGUUGGCCCAAUUGAUUGAUGGUGCUUGCACCUGAUUGAUUUUGGUCGCCAACGAGUGGCGGACGGGUGAGUAACACGUAGGUAACCUGCCCAGAAGCGGGGGACAACAUUUGGAAACAGAUGCUAAUACCGCAUAACAGCGUUGUUCGCAUGAACAACGCUUAAAAGAUGGCUUCUCGCUAUCACUUCUGGAUGGACCUGCGGUGCAUUAGCUUGUUGGUGGGGUAACGGCCUACCAAGGCGAUGAUGCAUAGCCGAGUUGAGAGACUGAUCGGCCACAAUGGGACUGAGACACGGCCCAUACUCCUACGGGAGGCAGCAGUAGGGAAUCUUCCACAAUGGGCGCAAGCCUGAUGGAGCAACACCGCGUGAGUGAAGAAGGGUUUCGGCUCGUAAAGCUCUGUUGUUAAAGAAGAACACGUAUGAGAGUAACUGUUCAUACGUUGACGGUAUUUAACCAGAAAGUCACGGCUAACUACGUGCCAGCAGCCGCGGUAAUACGUAGGUGGCAAGCGUUAUCCGGAUUUAUUGGGCGUAAAGAGAGUGCAGGCGGUUUUCUAAGUCUGAUGUGAAAGCCUUCGGCUUAACCGGAGAAGUGCAUCGGAAACUGGAUAACUUGAGUGCAGAAGAGGGUAGUGGAACUCCAUGUGUAGCGGUGGAAUGCGUAGAUAUAUGGAAGAACACCAGUGGCGAAGGCGGCUACCUGGUCUGCAACUGACGCUGAGACUCGAAAGCAUGGGUAGCGAACAGGAUUAGAUACCCUGGUAGUCCAUGCCGUAAACGAUGAGUGCUAGGUGUUGGAGGGUUUCCGCCCUUCAGUGCCGGAGCUAACGCAUUAAGCACUCCGCCUGGGGAGUACGACCGCAAGGUUGAAACUCAAAGGAAUUGACGGGGGCCCGCACAAGCGGUGGAGCAUGUGGUUUAAUUCGAAGCUACGCGAAGAACCUUACCAGGUCUUGACAUCUUGCGCCAACCCUAGAGAUAGGGCGUUUCCUUCGGGAACGCAAUGACAGGUGGUGCAUGGUCGUCGUCAGCUCGUGUCGUGAGAUGUUGGGUUAAGUCCCGCAACGAGCGCAACCCUUGUUACUAGUUGCCAGCAUUAAGUUGGGCACUCUAGUGAGACUGCCGGUGACAAACCGGAGGAAGGUGGGGACGACGUCAGAUCAUCAUGCCCCUUAUGACCUGGGCUACACACGUGCUACAAUGGACGGUACAACGAGUCGCAAACUCGCGAGGGCAAGCAAAUCUCUUAAAACCGUUCUCAGUUCGGACUGCAGGCUGCAACUCGCCUGCACGAAGUCGGAAUCGCUAGUAAUCGCGGAUCAGCAUGCCGCGGUGAAUACGUUCCCGGGCCUUGUACACACCGCCCGUCACACCAUGAGAGUUUGUAACACCCAAAGUCGGUGGGGUAACCUUUUAGGAGCCAGCCGCCUAAGGUGGGACAGAUGAUUAGGGUGAAGUCGUAACAAGGUAGCCGUAGGAGAACCUGCGGCUGGAUCACCUCCUUU
rnacentral:rRNA from 1 species